rnacentral:misc_RNA from 1 species
AACGCAUAUUGCACCCCUUGGUGAACCAUGGGGUAUGUCUGUUCGAGAGUGAUGCUCAGAGUUCAAGUUCCAUUGUUUUGAUGCAGUGGGCUUGUUUUUGAGUCCCGGGAGUCCUCCUUCCCUGGCUCUAAAGUGGUGGUCUUGCGGCCAAUGUUGAACCAAGAACAUGAUAAUGUAUAACUCACUGUUCUGGGGUUCUUGACUGAGGCUAGCCUUAACUUUCUAAAAAUUCUAACUUCGGAUCAGACAAGAAUACCCGCUGAACUUAA